rnacentral:rRNA from 1 species
GACGAACGCUGGCGGCGUGCUUAACACAUGCAAGUCGAACGGAAAGGCCCUGCUUUUGUGGGGUGCUCGAGUGGCGAACGGGUGAGUAACACGUGAGUAACCUGCCCUUGACUUUGGGAUAACUUCAGGAAACUGGGGCUAAUACCGGAUAGGAGCUCCUGCUGCAUGGUGGGGGUUGGAAAGUUUCGGCGGUUGGGGAUGGACUCGCGGCUUAUCAGCUUGUUGGUGGGGUAGUGGCUUACCAAGGCUUUGACGGGUAGCCGGCCUGAGAGGGUGACCGGCCACAUUGGGACUGAGAUACGGCCCAGACUCCUACGGGAGGCAACAGUGGGGAAUAUUGCACAGUGGGCGGAAGCCUGAUGCAGCAACGCCGCGUGCGGGAUGACGGCCUUCGGGUUGUAAACCGCUUUCGCCUGUGACGAAGCGUGAGUGACGGUAAUGGGUAAAGAAGCGCCGGCUAACUACGUG